GGGGUCCCUUGGUUGGAGGAGGCUCGGUGCUGGGGGUCCCUUGGUUGGAGGCUGGGGCUGGGGGGUCCCUUGGUUGGGGGUCCCUUGGUUGGAGGAGGCUCGGUGCUGGGGUCCCUUGGUUGGAGGCUGGGGAUCCUUUGGUUGGAGGAGGCUCGGUGCUGGGGGUCCCUUGGUUGGAGGAGGCUCGGUGCUGGGGGUCCUGCAGAAGUUGGAGCUGCUCUAUGAGAGACUUUCAGAAUUCUUUCCUGGGAGUUCGUUCAUUGUAACUCGGUGUUCGAUCAGAUUCUUUUUGCUAUCACUAUGUGUUUCCCC
rnacentral:lncRNA from 1 species